rnacentral:rRNA from 1 species
GCCUUUCUAUUCUCUCCUAAUUUCGAUGGAUGUUUUAAACGUUAUUUUUUUUACGGAGACAACACCCUUUCUAUGUAGCUAAUGGAAGAAGAAGUGGGGCGCACUUUAGGACCGGUAAGCGAAGGGCUAGCCUGCCACAUCAGAGUCAUUAAGCUAGCUCUGGUGCCCAGUUAGCUCGGCUGUGUCUACUGGAGAGAAGGAGUCCCGCGGUACCUCUUCCGCCGCCGCCGCCGCCGACUUCUCCUCGGCCUCCUUCGCACCCGCACCUGGACCCCGCGCCCGUGCCUGCCCGUCGACCCCUUGCCGCCGAAGGUCCUGGUGGUAGAGGGCGUCGGCGAGGAGGAGGGCGGAGCGACGGCGCCGGCGCAAAGGAAGCAGCGGCCGCCGCCGCGGGUGCGGUAGCGGGAGUGUUCACUACCACUUCAUAAAUGAACCCCGUCUCCAUGGGUACCAGUCGAACCGGUACCCUUGUAUCUCUUGUAGGGAGUAGGUUUCAGGCAAUUCAAGAAACUUUUGAUAUGCAACAAUAAAAGUCUAAGACCUGUUGAGAAGUACACACCUCUACCGAGUAAACCUGUCGAACCGUGACCACUGUUAGUCAGUUCCUUGAACGGUAAACUUCACGGUAUGAAAUGGUGUUUCGUACAACUCUUCGAACGUAAACCCUACGCGGUAAGAGAACAGGAUAACUUUCUAUUAAGGCAAAUACCUAAACCGAGUCGUUCCGCCCCUGUUCAACCGUUUAGACGAAGGUUUUUAGUUUUCAAAAUAUCAUAAGGAUCUAAUUAACUACCAAAAGGUUUGACGUUUUAUCACUUAAAUAUACGGUUACCUCUAGUAUCACGACGUAACCUACUUAGACCGGUCAACAUGUAGACCCCUUCUCGUAAUCAACCACUUGUACUACUACUGGUUGGAGCCCACCGUAAAGGGAGAAACUCAUAAAGAGUUCACCGUAAUCCUACCGUAGUACGUGAUCAGAAUAGGUCUCCACUUAACAUGUAGUAACCACGAAUGGCGGUAGUCUUCGCACUGGGAUGAAACAGUCUUUUACGUCAUCGCGUCGUUGACUUAGAAUGGUGUCGUUCGUCAUGUGUAGUACUUAGUAGAAGUCACAGUUUAAAUCGCUUCCACGGGAGAUAAGUACAUGUCGUCCACUGGGUCUAUCGUCGGCCGUGACUUGUAAGUCGAAACCAGUGUCUGUCGCCUCGUAACAAGUGGACCCCGACCCCUCUCGUACCUGUUGAUCCGAACCCUCUAUGAACACUAGUCCACCAAGGAGCCUCUCAUUUAGAUCCGCUGCUCCCGAGUGCAAGAAGACGAAGCGAGACGCACAUGACACCCUCGCCCAAAUGGCGGCGGCACUCGGACCGAAUCACCGUCUAAUCAAUCAAUGACAACAUGACAUGGUGAAGUAGUACAA